AGAUCAGACAGUUACCAAUAUUUUAUCCAGGUGCUUAACAUGUGCAAGAGUUAAUACUACCAAACCACAGUUUGGUAAACAUGACCACCUUCCUGCAAAUGUUAAAUUUACAAACUGACUUCAUGCAUAUGACAACGGCAAAAGGUGGACUCAAUUAUUUACUUGUAUUGUAGACAUGUUUUGGUUGUCCAUUUAUGAUUAAUAGUGAUAAAGAAACUUCGUUCACUUCAGCAGUUACACAGCAGGUUUGUAAAAUGUUGAGUAUAGAUUGGAAAUUUCAUAUACCCUAUCACCCUCAGUCAUCAGGGCAAGUAGAAAAGAUGAAUAGAACGAUCAAGGAGAAACUGACAAAAGGAGACUUGGGUAGCACACGCAAUUG